rnacentral:rRNA from 1 species
UACGUAGGGGGCAAGCGUUGUCCGGAAUCAUUGGGCGUAAAGCGCGUGUAGGCGGCCCGAUAAGUCCGCUGUAAAAGUCCAGGGCUCAACCCUGGAAAGCCGGUGGAUACUGUCGGGCUCGAGUCCGGAAGAGGCGAGUGGAAUUCCUGGUGUAGCGGUGAAAUGCGCAGAUAUCAGGAGGAACACCAAUGGCGAAGGCAGCUCGCUGGGACGUGACUGACGCUGAGACGCGAAAGCGUGGGGAGCAAACAGG